GAUGAACGCUGGCGGCGUGCCUAAUACAUGCAAGUCGAGCGAACAGACGAGGAGCUUGCUCCUCUGACGUUAGCGGCGGACGGGUGAGUAACACGUGGAUAACCUACCUAUAAGACUGGGAUAACUUCGGGAAACCGGAGCUAAUACCGGAUAAUAUAUUGAACCGCAUGGUUCAAUAGUGAAAGACGGUUUUGCUGUCACUUAUAGAUGGAUCCGCGCUGCAUUAGCUAGUUGGUAAGGUAACGGCUUACCAAGGCAACGAUGCGUAGCCGACCUGUGAGGGUGAUCGGCCACACUGGAACUGAGACACGGUCCAGACUCCUACGGGAGGCAGCAGUAGGGAAUCUUCCGCAAUGGGCGAAAGCCUGACGGAGCAACGCCGCGUGAGUGAUGAAGGUCUUCGGAUCGUAAAACUCUGUUAUUAGGGAAGAACAAAUGUGUAAGUAACUAUGCACGUCUUGACGGUACCUAAUCAGAAAGCAACGGCUAACUACGUG
rnacentral:rRNA from 1 species